UACGUAGGUGGCAAGCGUUAUCCGGAAUUAUUGGGCGUAAAGCGCGCGCAGGCGGUUUCUUAAGUCUGAUGUGAAAGCCCACGGCUCAACCGUGGAGGGUCAUUGGAAACUGGGGAACUUGAGUGCAGAAGAGAAAAGCGGAAUUCCACGUGUAGCGGUGAAAUGCGUAGAGAUGUGGAGGAACACCAGUGGCGAAGGCGGCUUUUUGGUCUGUAACUGACGCUGAGGCGCGAAAGUGUGGGGAGCGAACAGG
rnacentral:rRNA from 1 species